GUGGAGCUGGCAGGAGCCUGAGCCCCACGAUAAACUCUGGCAUCAGCUUCCCUUCAUCCGGCAGUCAGCGAGGACACAGUGAGGGCGCAGGGGCAGAGAGACGGGGACAGAGAGAGAGAGAAAGAGUGACAGAAAGGGGGGGAGAGAGAAAGAGAGAGAGAGACAAAUAUAGGCCGAUAGACAAAGAGGGAGAGGCUGUCAUAAGAAUCACACAGCUUCUUUUUCACAGCAACAGCAGCAGCUCAGCCAUUCUGUCUGCUGCCUCCAGAUGCAGGCAAAUGCUGAUGGGGAUGACGGGUGGCGUGUUUUCAACAGCGCAGUUAUCUGAGUGAUGGUAGCGGCCGCAGCAGCAUCACAAUCCCAAACAGGAGCUCUCCUCGCCACUCUGGCUCUUAGUCAUCCUCAGACUCCUCUCUCCCUUCUCAGAGUGCCAUCAGGGCCAUUCAUCGUUCCCAUCUCAUGCCUCCUGCCUCCUCCUCCUCCACAGCUUCAUCUUCCACUUCUACUCCUCCUCUGAUGAGGCACAGCCUCAGAGUGAAACAACCCUGCUGAUAGAAGCUUCUCUCUCUGUCAAGACAGUGCCAUGUGUGAUUGGUCAGCAUACCCUGUGGCAGUGGCAUCGCCCUGGAUUUGGCGAGAAGCUCUCCCCCCUGCUUGUUCUCCAGGGUUCCUUUGGGAAGCUUUCAUGGGAUUUAUAUUGUCCUACUGGAUGGCACGGCGCUCUCUGCCACUCUGAAAAGAGUCCACAGAAAGAAAGAAAAAAAAACAUACUCUACACGGAUAAGAAGUAAAAUAAUUAUCCAAUCACAGCACAAGGAGGCAGACCGGGUUCCCUUAGCAACAACUGAAGGAUAGAAGAGAAUCCUUUUCUCUUUCUGCUCCCUUGGUUUUUGGGCACACCCCUGUGGACUGCUGUGGGUCAGUGUUUUGUGAGAGGACUUGGAGAUCGUUGUUGCGUAAGACAAGCUGCCACCCAAAUUCCAGAAGAAGGUACUCAUUUUCUUUUGAGCGCUUCUUGUUACUGUGUCUCCUUGGGUCCAUGAUUUUGUUGUUAUCCCUCCACAAAUUCCCAUCAAGUCACGUUCCGCUGGCUUAGAAAUGAAUUGAUCCUGAUCCCCACUCCACUGGAAGGAGCCCUGUGUGUAGGGGGUGACUGGAUGCUCUGUGAAAAGACCCACACCUACCUUCUUACCUGCCAUGGACAAAGAAAUGAAGGACAACAUGAUUAGGUCAUCCGUUGCAGAGAAAAUGGAUGUGAAGGAAAGUUUAUUUUGAUGCGAGUUUCUACUGAGAAUUUUUUUUCCUCCCCUGGACGAGGAAACACUACACUGCACAGAGGAAUAUUCCCUUUUUCAGAUAGGAUCUGUCCUUCCUCUCUUUAAAGACAGUAACCCUCACUGAGGGACUAUAUUUAGAAGGCAAAUCUUGUCCCCCCUGGCCACCAAUACAACAGAGCACCAUCAUUUUAAAAAUUGAGCCACUGCUGGGAGUUCUAUUUUUCUAUGUGUGCUGUAUAGCUUACUCUACAAAAAGGCUCACAUGAACCUCUUUUUCUGCUCUCACUUUUGUAUGUUAGCCUGCCAUUAUGUCACUGUGUAUGACAAGUAAAAAAGAUUGUAACGGACAAGGAGACGAGGAGGAAAGUCUUUGCCUCAUAUAGACAGGC
rnacentral:lncRNA from 1 species